AUUGAACGCUAGCGGGAUGCCUUACACAUGCAAGUCGAACGGCAGCGCGGACUUCGGUCUGGCGGCGAGUGGCGAACGGGUGAGUAAUGCAUCGGAACGUGCCCAGUAGCGGGGGAUAACUACUCGAAAGAGUAGCUAAUACCGCAUACGCACUACGGGGGAAAGGGGGGGAUCGCAAGACCUCCCACUACUGGAGCGGCCGAUAUCGGAGUAGCUAGUUGGUGAGGGAAAGGCUCACCAAGGCGACGAUCUGUAGCUGGUCUGAGAGGACGACCAGCCACACUGGAACUGAGACACGGUCCAGACUCCUACGGGAGGCAGCAGUGGGGAAUUUUGGACAAUGGGCGCAAGCCUGAUCCAGCAAUGCCGCGUGCAGGAUGAAGGCCUUCGGGUUGUAAACUGCUUUUGUACGGAACGAAACGGUGAGCUCUAAUACAGUUUGCUAAUGACGGUACCGUAAGAAUAAGCACCGGCUAACUACGUGCCAGCCGCCGCCGUAA
rnacentral:rRNA from 1 species